rnacentral:rRNA from 1 species
UACGGAGGUGGCAAGCGUUGUUCGGAAUUACUGGGCGUAAAGGGCGCGUAGGCGGCUUUGCAAGUCAGAUGUGAAAGCCCCGAGCUUAACUCGGGAAUUGCAUCUGAAACUGCUUAGCUUGAGUCCUGGAUGGGAUAGUGGAAUUCCCAGUGUAGCGGUGAAAUGCGUAGAUAUUGGGAGGAACACCUGCGGCGAAGGCGGCUAUCUGGACAGUGACUGACGCUGAGGCGCGAAAGCUAGGGGAGCGAAC